rnacentral:SRP_RNA from 1 species
UAUUGGUCCCUUCGCAACGAGAAGCUACGAACUCCGCCAGGCCUGGAAGGGAGCAACGGUAGUGGUGUAUCGUGUGCCGAGGUGUGGCUGGUAGGG